rnacentral:pre_miRNA from 1 species
UCACUUGGGGACACUCAAAUGUGGAGCACUCUUCUGGAUGGAGUGGAAAGUGCUACACCAUUUGAGUGUUCCUGGGAGC